rnacentral:rRNA from 1 species
GACGAACGCUGGCGGCGUGCUUAACACAUGCAAGUCGAACGGAAAGGCCCUGCUUUUGUGGGGUGCUCGAGUGGCGAACGGGUGAGUAACACGUGAGUAACCUGCCCUUGACUUUGGGAUAACUUCAGGAAACUGGGGCUAAUACCGGAUAGGAGCUCCUGCUGCAUGGUGGGGGUUGGAAAGUUUCGGCGGUUGGGGAUGGACUCGCGGCUUAUCAGCUUGUUGGUGGGGUAGUGGCUUACCAAGGCUUUGACGGGUAGCCGGCCUGAGAGGGUGACCGGCAACAUUGGGACUGAGAGACGGCCCAGACUCAUACGGGAGGCAGCAGUGGGGAAUAUUGCACAAUGGGCGGAAGCCUGAUGCAGCAACGCCGCGUGCGGGAUGACGGCCUUCGGGUUGUAAACCGCUUUCGCCUGUGACGAAGCGUGAGUGACGGUAAUGGGUAAAGAAGCACCGGCUAACUACGUG